AAAAUAAUAAAUGGCGCAUCAACCAAAAGUAAUCUGAAUACCCAUGAGUAAAAACGAAGAAUAGGUAAGGUGACUCGCUCCUUUCAUUCACGAACUUUCGCAACUGACAAAGCGUUUGAGAAGUUCGAAAUAAACCAGCUGCUUAAACCACCUUGUGACCGAAUGGUCGUUUCUCCAAUGGGCAAAAAAUCGGAUACAAUUAUGCGCAGGUAUUUAAACGGCACAUUUGUUUCAAUACCUGCAAGUCUAUGCAUGUUUAAACACCAGCGAUUUUUUGAUAACUACGGAAAUAUAAUAUCUAAAUAAUAAAUAAAUAGAUGUAUGUAAAAUCAUACUAUUGAAAAUCACUGUUAAACAAGAACAAGAUAUUUUACCGUCUCUUU
rnacentral:lncRNA from 1 species